rnacentral:rRNA from 1 species
AGUGAACGCUGGCGGUAGGCCUAACACAUGCAAGUCGAACGGCAGCACAGUAAGAGCUUGCUCUUACGGGUGGCGAGUGGCGGACGGGUGAGGAAUACAUCGGAAUCUACUUUUUCGUGGGGGAUAACGUAGGGAAACUUACGCUAAUACCGCAUACGACCUACGGGUGAAAGCAGGGGAUCUUCGGACCUUGCGCGAUUGAAUGAGCCGAUGUCGGAUUAGCUAGUUGGCGGGGUAAAGGCCCACCAAGGCGACGAUCCGUAGCUGGUCUGAGAGGAUGAUCAGCCACACUGGAACUGAGACACGGUCCAGACUCCUACUGGAGGCAGCAGUGGGGAAUAUUGGACAAAGGGCGCAAGCCUGAUCCAGCCAUACCGCGUGGGUGAAGAAGGCCUUCGGGUUGUAAAGCCCUUUUGUUGGGAAGGAAAAGCAGCAGGUUAAUACCCCGCUGUUCUGACGGUACCCAAAGAAUAAGCACCGGCUAACUUCGUG